UAUCUCAGUUAGUAAAGAAUCUACUUGCAAUGCAGGAGACCCAGGUUCGAUUCCUGG
rnacentral:tRNA from 1 species